rnacentral:rRNA from 1 species
AGAAUGAACGCUGGCGGCGUGCUUAACACAUGCAAGUCGCACGAGAACGCUUCAGCUUGCUGAAGUUAGUAAAGUGGCGCACGGGUGAGUAACGCGUGGGUAAUCUUCCCCCGAAUUGGGGAUAACAUUGCGAAAGCGAUGCUAAUACCGGAUAAUAUCUCAAGUACCUCGGUACUUAAGAUCAAAGGUGGCCUCUACAUGUAAGCUACUGUUUGGGGAUGAGCCCGCGUACCAUUAGCUUGUUGGUAGGGUAAUGGCCUACCAAGGCUGCGAUGGUUAGCUGGUCUGAGAGGAUGAUCAGCCACACUGGAACUGACACACGGUCCAGACUCCUACGGGAGGCAGCAGUGAGGAAUUUUGCGCAAUGGGGGAAACCCUGACGCAGCAACGCCGCGUGAGUGAUGAAGGCUUUCGGGUCGUAAAGCUCUGUCAAGUGGGAAGAAACCACAUGGUGCUAAUACCACCUUGUGUUGACGGUACCACUGAAGGAAGCACCGGCUAACUCCGUGCCAGCAGCCGCGGUAAUACGGGGGGUGCAAGCGUUAUUCGGAAUUACUGGGCGUAAAGAGCGCGUAGGCGGUCUUUUAAGUCAGGUGUGAAAGCCCGGGGCUCAACCCCGGAAGUGCACAUGAAACUAAGAGACUUGAGUAUGGGAGAGGGAAGUGGAAUUCCUGGUGUAGCGGUGAAAUGCGUAGAUAUCAGGAGGAACACCGGUGGCGAAGGCGACUUCCUGGACCAAUACUGACGCUGAGGCGCGAAGGCGUGGGGAGCAAACAGGAUUAGAUACCCUGGUAGUCCACGCAGUAAACUGUGAACACUAGGUGUAGCGGGUAUUGACCCCUGCUGUGCCGCAGCAAACGCAUUAAGUGUUCCGCCUGGGGAGUACGGCCGCAAGGUUA